CGUAGGUGGCAAGCGUUGUCCGGAUUUACUGGGCGUAAGGGGUGCGUAGGUGGUUUCUUAAGUCAGAGGUGAAAGGCUACGGCUCAACCGUAGUAAGCCUUUGAAACUGGGGAACUUGAGUACAGGAGAGGAGAGUGGAAUUCCUAGUGUAGCGGUGAAAUGCGUAGAUAUUAGGAGGAACACCAGUAGCGAAGGCGGCUCUCUGGACUGUAACUGACGCUGAGGCACGAAAGCGUGGGGAGCAAACAGGAUUAGAUACCCUGGUAGUCCCUGAG
rnacentral:rRNA from 1 species